rnacentral:lncRNA from 1 species
UUUUCGAAAGCCUGAACAUAGAGGUGCUAAUGGGCUUCAAUUCUUGCACAGAGGCUCGUUAAGUCUAGUUAGGGCCUUCUCGAGCUGGGCCCAUUUCUGCUCGAAGGUGCCAAUGUACCCAAUGGACAUUCUCACAAGCCCAGGUGAAAUCCCAGCGAGUUUCUUUUCCUCUGGGUUUAACUCGCUGCUGGUGCUACUUCCAGAGCAAGACAUCAGAGUCUCAUAGUAGCCCAAGCUCACCGCCAUGAACCCGAACUGCCCAUAGUUCUGCAAGUGGUUCAUCAACCGGUUAGCCCUCUCUUCAGUCUCCAUAUCCAGGCAGAUAAGCCCACAGAACCCAUACUCAGCAUUGUGCAUCGACUUCAGUAAUUGGUGCUGCGGGUGCUCCUCCAGGCCCGGGUAGAUCACCCUCAGGCCCAGGCUUUUCAGCCUCCUUGCGAACAAUAAAGCCCGUUGACUGUGCUCCUUCAUUCUUAGGCCCAGGUGUGGGAUUCUCUCGGAAAGUUCAAAUGCCACCUUUGCAUUCAUUGUGGGGCCCAAGAGCAUUAAGGAUCCUUGUUGCAGGUCCAUCAUCUUAUUCACCAGGCUUGCAGGCCCACACACAGCCCCUGAAAAGUUGUCAGUCAUAAUAUUUAUUACCGGUAGAAGUUUAAGAUGUAUUUUAAUUCUUACAUCAAUAGAACUUUGCUAUAAUAAGAGACUACAUACAUCAGUUUGAAAAUCAAUAAUAACUGUAUUUUUUUAAUGGAAGUAAAAAUAUAUUAAUUUUAUCUUUUGGCUAAAAACAAAUAUUUUUAAAAGCAAAGUAACACGUGUAACACGUCAAAAAGAAGGGAACAGAAGUUGUCCACUUCACGUGAUACUUAGGUCACAAGUGAAGGGUACACCAGCAUCACAUCAGUUCAAAAAGGAAUAUUCUAUUUAAUAAUAUUAUUUAGCAUUUGCAAAUAUUAAUAGUUUAUCAAGAAACUUACCAAAAUUAUUUUUUUAGUAUAUUAUUCAGCAUUUACAAAAAUUUAAAUUAUAAAAAAUAGUUGCAUCGAGGUAUAGAUAUAUUUUAUAUUAAUACAAUCAUCAACUAUUAUACGUUAGAUGUACUUAAUUUUAUAAUAUAUAAUUAAAAAAAAACAGUAUUAUAUAAGUUAUGGUUGACAAAAAACCUAACAAACACUGUGAAUUGAGAAAAUAUUUUUUACAAUAUGAAAAAAUAAUUAAAAAAAAAAACAAAUUCAUUUGGUGUACAGAAAAUAAAGUUUAACAACUCCACUUUCCAGAGCAGCCGGAAAAGAACCUCUUAAUACAAGAUAUAUUAUUUUUAAUGAAAGUUGUUCUAAAACACUUUCAUUAGCUUAUGGAGUGAUAGGGAUAUUUCAGAAUCCUCUCUCUUUGGUAACUAUUAAUUAUUUAAAACACGUUUCAAUUUGAAAAGAAAAGAUUAGUCACCACAAUUUUCAUCUUUUGCUUUUUCUCCUUUUAUCACUUCUUGUAUAAUUCCAGUUACCUUUCUCGGAGUUAUUAUAACUUUAGAAUAAUAAAUAAAUAAUUUAAUAUUCUAUUUUGUAUCAUUUAAAUAUAAUUUUAAAAGUUGACAUUAAUUAUGACAUUUAAAUAUUAAUAUGGUAAAUCAGAUCGCUUCAAUUGCACAUUAUGAGAAAAUUUUAAAUAAAGUAAGUGACUUUAUAAACAUUCCCGAAAAACAUUGUAUUGCUUAACAAAGUUUACUGGACCUACCAAAUAUAAAAUAAAAAUAAUUUUUGUUAUGAAUGUACUAUUAGGACUAGGACUGAUACUUCAGCAUGUGAGAUGGAUACACAUCAUUAUCAGGAUAAACUCGAUGACUUGUCCUUUGUGGAUUUGUGAUAAAAAAAGGAGUGUUUUAUAAUUAUUUUAUUUCAAAAAAAUUCUCUAAAGAUACCACUAAUAAACUAAUAAUACCACAAAUACCAAACAUCUUUUUAAGGGAUAUUUUUGUUUAUAUGUCUAAUUGCUUUCUCAUCUAACUUUUAUCAUAUUUUUUUAACCAUUUUUUAUUUUCUCACUAAUCAUUUAAUAUGACUCUAAAUUUCUCUCUCUUUCUCUAUUUUUUUCUCUCUUUCUAUUAUUUUUCUUUAUUUGUUCAUUUAAUACACCUGUAAAUUUCUGUCUUUUUCUCAUUUAUUGAUUUAUUGAUUUCUAUCUCUUCAUCACUUUCUUCCACACAUACACCCUCAACUUAGACUGAGAAUACAUAGCUUUUACUUUCUUUAAGAAACAAGACAAAAUAUUAAAUAUAUAAACUAAAAUAAUUCAUUGUUGUCAUAGAAAGAAUUGUCAUAGAAAGAAAUGUCAUAUUAUAAUUUUUAAUACUAUUUACUAGUAAGUUUUUAGUUCAUAUGUAUACAUCGAAUUUUUAUGGCAAACUAAGAAAAAAUUUAUUAUGGUACAUGUUCUUUUUCAUUAAAUAUCUUUGGGUUUGUGUGCGUGCUCAAUUUGAGAAGGAGAAUGAGUCUUAUAAUAAAAACGAGAAUAAACAAAAACUGAGAAUAUCUUUAUAGUGAUAGAUGUUAUAGUAAUUAUUGAAUAUUAAUUAAUUAUUUAAUUUCAGUUCAUUGAUUCAGUGAUCAACUAGAAAAAAUAAGAAAGAGAGAGAGAAUGGAAAGACGACAAAGAUACCUGCGAUUAUGUCGGCCCCACCGCUGAUGAACUUGGUGAUACUGUGAACCACCACAUCAGCACCAAGACGCGCCGGCGUAAGCACCAUGGGCGCGAACGUGUUGUCCACCACCACCGUCACCCCCUUACGUCGUGCCAUACGGCACAGCUCCGGUAUGUUUGCCACCGUAAGCGUCGGGUUCGAAAUUGACUCGAAGUAAAGCACUUUGGUCUUCCCCUCCACCAUGGCCUCAUCCACCAUCUCAAGAUCCGUCACCUCCACAAAACUUGUUUCUAUCCCGCACGUGCGUGGUAGAAAGUGCGAGAACAGAGCGUGGGUCCCACCGUACAACGUUCUGGAUGCCACCACGUGUUCCCCGUGACUGCACAGCUGCAACAGCACGGCACUGAUAGCCGACAUCCCGCUGGCGGUGCAGUACGCCGCCUCUGUGCCUUCCAGCGCAGCCAUGAGACGGCUCAGGUUCAGCACCGUCGGGUUGAAGUGGCGACUGUAGAUGAAAAAGUCCCGGUCAGGGCCA